rnacentral:rRNA from 1 species
UAGGGAAUCUUCCACAAUGGACGCAAGUCUGAUGGAGCAACGCCGCGUGAGUGAAGAAGGCUUUCGGGUCGUAAAACUCUGUUAUUGAAGAAGAACGUGUGUGACAGUAACUGGUCAUGCAGUGACGGUAUUCAAUCAGAAAGUCACGGCUAACUACGUGCCAGCAGCCGCGGUAAUACGUAGGUGGCAAGCGUUGUCCGGAUUUAUUGGGCGUAAAGCGAGUGCAGGCGGUCUUUUAAGUCUGAUGUGAAAGCCUUCGGCUUAACCGAAGAAGGGCAUCGGAAACUGGGAGACUUGAGUGCAGAAGAGGAGAGUGGAACUCCAUGUGUAGCGGUGAAAUGCGUAGAUAUAUGGAAGAACACCAGUGGCGAAGGCGGCUCUCUGGUCUGUAACUGACGCUGAGGCUCGAAAGCGUGGGUAGCAAACAGGAUUAGAUACCCUGGUAGCCCACGCC